rnacentral:lncRNA from 1 species
ACCGUCUCUGUCCAUGACGCCUGCUCAGUCUCCCAUGGAUCAACUCGAAUCCAGUCAGACGUCUCCAGUGCUAGUUUGGCCAUUGCUAUCCGAUGCCUUGCUGAAACCAAGCCUUUCUUUCUGUAGUCAUCACUGACAGGAGACAUUAUGCCUUCAAUCACUCGGUAUCUUCCGCUCGCGGCCGGCCGCUGCUGCUGCAGCCCCCGCGAUCCCUGCGGCGCCGUGUCCUGCGGUUGGC